rnacentral:rRNA from 3 species
GGGUUGUGAGGUUAAGCGACUAAGCGUACACGGUGGAUGCCCUGGCAGUCAGAGGCGAUGAAGGGCGUGCUAAUCUGCGAUAAGCGCCGGUAAGGUGAUAUGAACCGUUAUAACCGGCGAUACCCGAAUGGGGAAACCCAGUGUGAUUCGUCACACUAUCAUUAACUGAAUCCAUAGGUUAAUGAGGCGAACCGGGGGAACUGAAACAUCUAAGUACCCCGAGGAAAAGAAAUCAACCGAGAUUCCCCCAGUAGCGGCGAGCGAACGGGGAGGAGCCCAGAGCCUGAAUCAGCAUGUGUGUUAGUGGAAGCGUCUGGAAAGGCGCGCGAUACAGGGUGACAGCCCCGUACACAAAAGCGCAUGUGCUGUGAGCUCGAUGAGUAGGGCGGGACACGUGGUAUCCUGUCUGAAUAUGGGGGGACCAUCCUCCAAGGCUAAAUACUCCUGACUGACCGAUAGUGAACCAGUACCGUGAGGGAAAGGCGAAAAGAACCCCGGCGAGGGGAGUGAAAAAGAACCUGAAACCGUGUACGUACAAGCAGUGGGAGNNNNNNNNNNNNNGUGUGACUGCGUACCUUUUGUAUAAUGGGUCAGCGACUUAUAUUCUGUAGCAAGGUUAACCGAAUAGGGGAGCCGGAGGGAAACCGAGUCUUAAUUGGGCGUUAAGUUGCAGGGUAUAGACCCGAAACCCGGUGAUCUAGCCAUGGGCAGGUUGAAGGUUGGGUAACACUAACUGGAGGACCGAACCGACUAAUGUUGAAAAAUUAGCGGAUGACCUGUGGCUGGGGGUGAAAGGCCAAUCAAACCGGGAGAUAGCUGGUUCUCCCCGAAAGCUAUUUAGGUAGCGCCUCGUGAAUUCAUCUCCGGGGGUAGAGCACUGUUUCGGCUAGGGGGCCAUCCCGGCUUACCAACCCGAUGCAAACUGCGAAUACCGGAGAAUGUUAUCACGGGAGACACACGGCGGGUGCUAACGUCCGUCGUGAAGAGGGAAACAACCCAGACCGCCAGCUAAGGUCCCAAAGUCAUGGUUAAGUGGGAAACGAUGUGGGAAGGCCCAGACAGCCAGGAUGUUGGCUUAGAAGCAGCCAUCAUUUAAAGAAAGCGUAAUAGCUCACUGGUCGAGUCGGCCUGCGCGGAAGAUGUAACGGGGCUAAACCAUGCACCGAAGCUGCGGCAGCGACACUGUGUGUUGUUGGGUAGGGGAGCGUUCUGUAAGCCUGUGAAGGUGUGUCGUGAGGCAUGCUGGAGGUAUCAGAAGUGCGAAUGCUGACAUAAGUAACGAUAAAGCGGGUGAAAAGCCCGCUCGCCGGAAGACCAAGGGUUCCUGUCCAACGUUAAUCGGGGCAGGGUGAGUCGACCCCUAAGGCGAGGCCGAAAGGCGUAGUCGAUGGGAAACGGGUUAAUAUUCCCGUACUUGGUGUUACUGCGAAGGGGGGACGGAGAAGGCUAUGUUGGCCGGGCGACGGUUGUCCCGGUUUAAGCGUGUAGGUGUGUGUUCCAGGUAAAUCCGGUUCACUUUAACACUGAGGCGUGACGACGAGGCACUACGGUGCUGAAGCAACAAAUGCCCUGCUUCCAGGAAAAGCCUCUAAGCAUCAGGUAACAUCAAAUCGUACCCCAAACCGACACAGGUGGUCAGGUAGAGAAUACCAAGGCGCUUGAGAGAACUCGGGUGAAGGAACUAGGCAAAAUGGUGCCGUAACUUCGGGAGAAGGCACGCUGACACGUAGGUGAAGUGAUUUACUCAUGGAGCUGAAGUCAGUCGAAGAUACCAGCUGGCUGCAACUGUUUAUUAAAAACACAGCACUGUGCAAACACGAAAGUGGACGUAUACGGUGUGACGCCUGCCCGGUGCCGGAAGGUUAAUUGAUGGGGUCAGCGCAAGCGAAGCUCCUGAUCGAAGCCCCGGUAAACGGCGGCCGUAACUAUAACGGUCCUAAGGUAGCGAAAUUCCUUGUCGGGUAAGUUCCGACCUGCACGAAUGGCGUAAUGAUGGCCAGGCUGUCUCCACCCGAGACUCAGUGAAAUUGAACUCGCUGUGAAGAUGCAGUGUACCCGCGGCAAGACGGAAAGACCCCGUGAACCUUUACUAUAGCUUGACACUGAACAUUGAGCCUUGAUGUGUAGGAUAGGUGGGAGGCUUUGAAGUGUGGACGCCAGUCUGCAUGGAGCCGACCUUGAAAUACCACCCUUUAAUGUUUGAUGUUCUAACGUGGACCCGUUACCCGGGUUGCGGACAGUGUCUGGUGGGUAGUUUGACUGGGGCGGUCUCCUCCUAAAGAGUAACGGAGGAGCACGAAGGUUGGCUAAUCCUGGUCGGACAUCAGGAGGUUAGUGCAAUGGCAUAAGCCAGCUUGACUGCGAGCGUGACGGCGCGAGCAGGUGCGAAAGCAGGUCAUAGUGAUCCGGUGGUUCUGAAUGGAAGGGCCAUCGCUCAACGGAUAAAAGGUACUCCGGGGAUAACAGGCUGAUACCGCCCAAGAGUUCAUAUCGACGGCGGUGUUUGGCACCUCGAUGUCGGCUCAUCACAUCCUGGGGCUGAAGUAGGUCCCAAGGGUAUGGCUGUUCGCCAUUUAAAGUGGUACGCGAGCUGGGUUUAGAACGUCGUGAGACAGUUCGGUCCCUAUCUGCCGUGGGCGCUGGAGAACUGAGGGGGGCUGCUCCUAGUACGAGAGGACCGGAGUGGACGCAUCACUGGUGUUCGGGUUGUCAUGCCAAUGGCACUGCCCGGUAGCUAAAUGCGGAAGAGAUAAGUGCUGAAAGCAUCUAAGCACGAAACUUGCCCCGAGAUGAGUUCUCCCUGAGACUUAGAGUCUCCUGAAGGAACGUUGAAGACGACGACGUUGAUAGGCCGGGUGUGUAAGCGCAGCGAUGCGUUGAGCUAACCGGUACUAAUGAACCGUGAGGCUUAACCUUACAACGCCGAAG